UCCUAUAGCGCGACUUGAAAUGGUAAUCUUUGAUUGAGGACCCAACAAAUUCAUUGUCCAUUUUGGUCAAUUUCACUAUCAUAGGAUUUAAAAUAGCUGAAAUCAGGAAACUUGUGAAGAUUUUUCAAAACAGAAUUUUCAGUGUUUGUAACUGUAGGGAUCCUGACCUAAAAAGGAGUUUGGGGGAGCCACAAAUUGAGAGUGGGGAUUUGCAGUGCAGCUACUCUCCAGUGCUUCUGCUGGCUCUACCUUCAGAGUGGGGCAGCUGGAGGAUGGUGGCUGUUGGUCAGGAGCCGACUCCAAAGGCAGAGUAGCAACAAAGAAGGAUGGCAUAGCAGCACAGUGCCUCAUCAAGUGUCAGCUUUAAGACUAAGAUUAUGGUAAUACCAGACUUCUGUGAUCAAUCGUACAAGAAGAAAUCUGAACGUUAGUAAAUUCAACGACUUGCCCAUUCAUCCUGAUUUCCUGCUUGCAAAAGAAGAUUGUGAUAUCGCCAGAAGGUUCUUACAUUGGGAUAGGUCUCUGCAGAAAUUUGGCAGUGGGAGAUGUUGAGGAAGAGCUAGAAUAAUACACCCGUCUGCUUCACCCACCCACCUAAACACUCCCCUCCCUCCUACUCUAAAAUUUGAGAAGCUUAAUAUGUAAGAAGAUUAUUAAUAAACAAAUUGAACUUUAAAAAAAUAAAAGCACUUUUCAAGUUGGCACUACAUAAAAUAUUAUAUCUAAAAUAUUAAAGAUUCAUAAAUAUAAACUUGAUAGCAA